UAAACCAUAGUCAAUAAUUUAUGAUAUAUGAGUUGCAUUCAUAAGGAGUUUAAAAAAACUGGUUUAA
rnacentral:tRNA from 2 species